UACGACGGGUGCAAGCGUUACUCGGAAUUACUGGGCGUAAAGCGUGCGUAGGUGGUUCGUUAAGUCUGAUGUGAAAGCCCUGGGCUCAACCUGGGAAUGGCAUUGGAAACUGGCGACCUAGAGUGCGGUAGAGGGCAGUGGAAUUCCCGGUGUAGCAGUGAAAUGCGUAGAGAUCGGGAGGAACAUCUGUGGCGAAGGCGACUGCCUGGACCAGCACUGACACUGAGGCACGAAAGCGUGGGGAGCAAACAGG
rnacentral:rRNA from 1 species